UAGCUCAGUUGGUUAGAGCAUCAGAUUGUGGUUCUGAGGGUCGAGGGUUCGAAACCCUU
rnacentral:tRNA from 1 species